UUGGAAGCUGCUCUAAGCUGCCCCCGUUUUCUGCGGUAUCCACGGCAGCAUCUGAUCAGCAGCCUGGCAGAGGCAAGGCCAGAGGAACUGACUCCCCACGUGAUGGUGCUCCUGGCCCAGCACCUGGCCCGGCACCGGUUGCGGGAGCCCCAGCUUCUGGAAGCCAUUGCCCACUUCCUGGUGGUUCAGGAAACGCAACUCAGCAGCAAGGUGGUACAGAAGUUGGUCCUGCCCUUUGGGCGACUGAACUACCUGCCCCUGGAACAGCAGUUUAUGCCCUGCCUUGAGAGGAUCCUGGCUCGGGAAGCAGGGGUGGCACCCCUGGCUACAGUCAACAUCUUGAUGUCACUGUGCCAACUGCGGUGCCUGCCCUUCAGAGCCCUGCACUUUGUUUUUUCCCCUGGCUUCAUCAACUACAUCAGUGGCACCCCUCAUGCUCUGAUUGUGCGUCGCUACCUCUCCCUGCUGGACACGGCCGUGGAGCUGGAGCUCCCAGGAUACCGGGGUCCCCGCCUUCCCCGAAGGCAGCAAGUGCCCAUCUUUCCCCAGCCUCUCAUCACCGACCGUGCCCGCUGCAAGUACAGUCACAAGGACAUAGUAGCUGAGGGGUUGCGCCAGCUGCUGGGGGAGGAGAAAUACCGCCAGGACCUGACUGUGCCUCCAGGCUACUGCACAGGUGAGCAAGGGGCAGGCGGCAGGCCCGGGGAGACGGAGCCCUGGCUAAGGCCGCCGGCCCUGCUCCCCCUCCAGACUUCCUGCUGUGCGUCAGCAGCUCUGGUGCUGUGCUUCCCGUGAGGACCCAGGACCCCUUCCUGCCAUACCCACCAAGGUCCUGCCCACAGGGCCAGGCUGCCUCUAGCGCCACUACUCGAGACCCUGCCCAGAGGUAAAGGAGGCAGGGUGGGGGAGCCCUGGCCACCUUGCCCGCCAUGCCCUGAGCCACGUCCCUCCCCCUGCAGAGUGGUGCUGGUGUUGCGGGAACGCUGGCAUUUCUGCCGGGACGGCAGGGUGCUGCUGGGCUCGAGGGCCCUGAGGGAGCGGCACCUAGGCCUGAUGGGCUACCAGCUCCUGCCGGUGAGUGGCCCUGGCCUGGCCCGUGGCGCAUCCUCACUCCCAGCCUGCGGGUAACCUGCCGCCCUCUCCUCUCCCCACAGCUACCCUUCGAGGAACUGGAGUCCCAGAGAGGCCUGCCCCAGCUCAAGAGCUACCUGAGGCAGAAGCUCCAGGCCCUGGGCCUGCGCUGGGGGCCUGAAGGGGGCUGAGGGGAUGAUGUGGGGUUCAGGAUGGCCCCCCCAUGGGGGGUGGAUGAUUUGCACUUUGGUUCCCUGUGUU
rnacentral:sRNA from 1 species